GCCUGAGGUCCUUUCGAGAAACGCGAGGAACACGGAACGGCCAAGGCUUCCGGGGAGGAGAGGACGGCGGCCCCGCACCUUUGUUUCCAGAGGUUUCCAGGCGUUUUCUGGCCGGAUCCCAGGGCCUCGUGCGAUGGGCCGGGCUGGACACCGCGCGUUUCAAAGUCACGUUUGGGAUGCUUCUUGCUGACUGUCUCGUCAAGAGGAACUGGUUCUUGGAACGAUGCCUCCGCCUUCCGAUCUGACCAGUUGCAGCCUUACCGUGUUAGCUAUCAAGUGGGGAGACCGGUGAACUCAGGGUUGCUCGUCGGACCUGAGCCACACCAGGGAAUCCAAUCACCAGAGCAUCUCAGGAUGUAGAAGGUCCUAGGUCCCCAUUCCAGAAUCAGCAAGCUAACAGAUCUGCUCAGGCAAAGAACGGGCACGGCACAUGGAUCUGGGUGAAGCAGGGUGGCCCUCUUCGUAGGUUUGGAGGUGUAGUAACCCAGAAACCCAGAGAUAAAGGUCCAGAGGGAAGGAAGCACGAAACUCUCGACGUUUUCAGUACGCCCGAGGGAAGCCGUGUGAAAGGCUCCCAACCGGAGAAUGAAGAUCACUGAGUUCCAGAAACAUUUAAGAAAGUUUGGGGAUUAUUGGACUCAGAAGCUGGUGACAGGCCCGGUCUGGAUGAACGGGGCCCGCCUCCUAGACCGCAAGUGCCUGCCCAUGGAGCUUCUAAGGAGGAUCCUGUCACCCUAGUGGACCACACCUCUGACCUCCAGAGACACAGAUGCCUGCCUGAAAGCCAACUUAAUCAUUCAUAACGCUAAGCAGGAUUGCCGUGUAGACCAGAUGUACAAACGUCAUGGCGGCCAUUCUCUUUCUGAAGUCAAGAUGCGAGAGUAUCCGGAAAGCAUCUGGAGCCAUCCGUUUGCAAGGAGAGAGCACCAGGAAUAUAAGCGCCACCAGGGCAAGAAUGUCUGUUUAUUUACGCUAUAUGAGUAAAUUACAGCGCUGGGAUUGAGAACGAUGUCGCCGCAGUCCAACUACCUCGGCCUGAAUCUCAGUUGAAUCAGCUGGUGGACUUUGGUAAGUUAAUAUUUAGCUGUUUUUGUGCCUCCGUAGCCCCCUCUGUAAAACGGGGGGGGGGGCAAAUCAACGAUUACGCGUGCAUCAUGGGUUUGUCGUCAUAAAAGAGGUGAUAGGGGAGAAGUGUUGAGAGUAGCGACGAGUGGAGAGCAAAUGUUCAGUAAAUGAAGCGUAGCGUUAGCCAUUGUGGAUGAUAAUGUACACAGUUGCGUAUCAAUCACCUUGUGAAGCAGAAGUAGGACUGGAGAGGCACGUACAUUAAGUAGUUUUUAAGAAGUUGAACAAGUGGAGGCGCCUGGGUGGCUCGGUGGGUUAGGCAUCCCACUUUGGCUCAAGUCAUGCUCUCGCGGUUUGUGGGUUCGAGCCCCGUGUCGGGCUCUGUGCUGACAGCUCAGAGCCUGGAGCCUGCUUCGGAUUCUGUGUCUCCCUCUCUCUGCCCCUCCCCUGUUCA